rnacentral:tmRNA from 1 species
GGGUCUGUUUUUGGAAUUCGACAGGUCGUUUAGAGCAUUGAUUGCGUUUCGCCAUCCGGGCGCAAAACGGGCAGAAAUUUUAACUG